rnacentral:rRNA from 1 species
UUGGGAAUAUUGCACAAUGUUCGCAAGCCUGAUGCAGCCAUGCCGCGUGUUUGAAGAAGUCCUUCGGGUUGUAAAGCACUUUCAGCGGGGAGGAAGGCGUUAAGGUUAAUAACCUUGGCGAUUGACGUUACCCGCAGAAGAAGCACCGGCUAACUCCGUGCCCGCAGCCGCGGUAAUACGGAGGGUGCAAUCGUUAAUCGGAAUUACUGGGCGUAAAGCGCACGCAGGCGGUCUGUCAAGUCGGAUGUGAAAUCCCCGGGCUCAACCUGGGAACUGCAUUCGAAACUGGAAGGCUAGAGUCUUGUAGAGGGGGGUAGAAUUCCAGGUGUAGCGGUGAAAUGCGUAGAGAUCUGGAGGAAUACCGGUGGAGAAGGCGGCCCCCUGGACAAAGACUGACGCUCAGGUGCGAAAGCGUGGGGAGCAAACAGG